UACGUAGGUGACCAGCGUUGUCCGGAUUUACUGGGCGUAAAGAGCGCGCAGGCGGUCGUUUCAAGUCGAGUGUGAAAGCCCCGGGCUCAACCUGGGAAUUGCAUUCGAGACUGCAUUGCUGGAGUACGGAAGAGGAAGGCGGAAUUCCCGGUGUAGCGGUGAAAUGCGUAGAUAUCGGGAGGAACAUCGAGUGGCGAAGGCGGCCUUCUGGUCCAGUACUGACACUCAAGUGCGAAAGCGUGGGAGCAAACAGGG
rnacentral:rRNA from 1 species